GCCUCCUGCGGGCCUUUGAAGUAGUACAGGUAGCAGCGGCGGGGGUCGAAGACGAACCAGCGGCUGCGGAAAUUCCGCAGCGGGCCCUUGCCCGACAGCUUCUGCAGAUAUAAUCCAGAUGUGAACUUAUAAACGAUAGCUGCAUCUUUCAACAUUAUUAUUGUGUUUGCAAUGUAGCAUAUAGGAGAAAGACCAAAUGGAGAAUGAGAAAGGAAGAGACAUGGACACAAACCAACAUUUCUGCAUAUAUUUUUGUGCAAUUUUUUAUAUUCUACAUUGGUGGGAAACAGAAAAGAUCCCAAAAGUUUCACUGACUGCCAUCUAUGAAGAACUGGUUUAUAGAUGAAGAAAUAAGGGUUUUUUUUUAAAAUUUGUACACUCCUUGAUUAGACACAACAGUGUGAAAUAAACAAAAAUAAUUUCU